GGGCGGAUGGCGGAACUGGUAUACGCGCUACCUUGAGGUGGUAGUUCUCGCAAGGGAUUGGAGGUUCGAGUCCUCUUUCGCCCA
rnacentral:tRNA from 1 species